GCUUAGAACUGUGAUCCUCAAAUCCCAGCCUCCUGAGUAGCAAGGAUUAUAGGUGUGAGCCACUGGCACCUGGCUCAGACAUGUAUUUCUUAAGAUGAAUUUGGUUACUUGAUGUUUAUAUUCUACGGCACAUAUGAUAGAUGAUAAAAUUCUGUAAAUUUCAAGCUAUGGUAACCGAUGAUGCUCACACAAAGGAGUUCAUAAAAUAACAGCUUGCUUCAUUAGGUAGAAAAAUAUUUGGGAUAGUUCUUUAAUGUAUCUUAACAAUGUGGGGGAAAACUAUUCAGAGAGCAUAAUAAAAAAAUAUUUUACUUUCUAAAAUUGCUUUUUAUGAAAAUUGUCCACUUUUAAGUGCUCAUAUUUGACUAAAUCUAAAGUUGACAAUUUCACAUGAGACUACACAUUUUAGUCAAUUUACCUACUGUGAAACCUGUAUUUGCAAACCAUUAGAACAUAUGUCAGAGCAUGUUGCAGUGGGCUCCGAUGUUUUAUAAAAAGAAUAUCCACUUUGGGCAAUGACUUCCAGAAAGACUUAUGCCCAAAGGAAAAAUGAGUGGCUAACCUCAUAGCCACACUCCUGGAGGGUGUUCAAUAAAAGCUCACAAAACAUACCCAGAGUCACAGAACUGAAAGCAAUGUUACAUUUCUCCUCUACUUGCAGACGGGAAGAACAGCAACAAUUUUAGACACACACCUUGUAAAAACUGUCAGAAAACAGGCUACAUUUUUGCCGAUAGCUUUGAAGUUCUUGUCAUUAGUCAUGAGAAAGCUAACAUCACACAUUGAAAUCUGUUAACAUUACAUGUAAUACAUUCCAAAUCCAAGUACCAUGUUUGGGGUAGUUUCCCGAUGCCCCAUUAUUAUUGAGCAUUUCUGCAUAUUUUAUUUUUGGAAGCUUUAUAAUUGUUUGCCUUCUGGAUCUUCUUCAUGCACAGAGAAAACACAGUGAACAGAGGGGGUUGUACCCUUAGUAGACACACUUCAGGAUAACUAUUAAUGAGAAUUUUAGUGUAAAGUACAACAGGCAAGACUCAAUUGUAAACUAAAAAUUACAAAUGUUGUAAAAAUUCUCCAAUAAACUUAUUUUACAUUUUAUUAAAAAGAGAAAAAACAUUUUUAGCACUAAACUAUUUCUUUUAAUCUGAGUUCAGAUGUUUUAUUUCUAAUUGGCCUUCAGAUUGCAGCAGCCCAUAAGUUUAGCUUUGAAAGUUCUUAGUACCCAGACUGUCAUUGAGCCAAAGACCUCAAGACACACAAACACACACAAAGACACAAGGACACACAUACACCUACACCUUUUCUAGUAAACAAAUCUGUUACAGUGCUGGAACAAUGUGACUGUUAGAACUUUUUAUAUCCAGUUUACUUUUUCUGAAAUUGAGACAUUUAUAUUAUUGAAACAAGAAUCUCUAGUACACAAAUUUUCUCUGUAACCUCAGUAUAAUUCUUGAUGGCAAAUUUUUCUUCAUUCACCUGAAGGAGAAUGAAGUGUGGAAGUACAAACCACUGCAAAUGGUCAAAACAAAACCA